CCUACGGGAGGCAGCAGUGAGGAAUAUUGGUCAAUGGCCGAGAGCCUGAACCAGCCAAGUAGCGUGCAGGAAGACGGCCCUACGGGUUGUAAACCUCUUUUGUCGGGGAGUAACGCGAGUCACGUGUGACUCAUUGAGAGUACCCGAAGAAAAAGCAUCGGCUAACUCCGUGCCAGCAGCCGCGGUAAUACGGAGGAUGCGAGCGUUAUCCGGAUUUAUUGGGUUUAAAGGGUGCGCAGGCGGCGGUUCAAGUCAGCGGUCAAAUUGCGGGGCUCAACCCCGUACUGCCGUUGAAACUGGAGCCCUUGAGUGCGCGGAAAGUAGGCGGAAUGCGUGGUGUAGCGGUGAAAUGCAUAGAUAUCACGCAGAACUCCGAUUGCGAAGGCAGCAUACCGGCGCGGAACUGACGCUCAUGCACGAAAGCGUGGGUAUCGAACAGGAUUAGAUACCCUGGUAGUC
rnacentral:rRNA from 1 species